CACAUUGUGGGCUGAGGAAGCCACACCCCCAUCUCCAUACUGGGCAUGCUCCAGCUGUUCCAGUAUAAAGGAGAGCAGCCCAGCUAAGUCUGAGAGAGAUGCUGGUGGUGAAGGAUGUAUACUAGGAACUCUUGCUGAGAAUGGCUUCUAGCCUGUGCCAGAGGGGAGGGGAGGGGAGGGGAGACAUAGACCACAGCCUCAGACCCCAGCAGCCCAUAGAGCCCCAGGGAGCUGCCAGUGCUGAACUAAGAGUUCCCAACGCCUCCUGGACUACAAUGCCCCAGACCAUGGUAGGAAAUGACCCAGGGGUGGUGUCUGUGUGGUAUCUCCCAUGGAGGUUCUAUGUCCUAAGACCAUCCCAUUAAAAACUUCCAGACUAAGAAUCCACUACUAGGAUCUGAGUAACUCCUCAUUUUACUGGCAAAGUACUGAAGAGAAGGUCAAAUCCCACUGGGUCUGAUACUCCCACAUAAUAACAUUGCUGACUAACCUCCAUGGAAUCCAUUGCCCCUGUAAAUGAGGCCUCGGGCAGGAGGUUGAGGGGAGAUGCCCAGCUUCAGACCCUCAGUGUGAUUUGUGGAAAGGCUGAGCACUCAUAGAAGUCAAUAGGAGCUGUGCUUUAAGUAUAUGAAGUGCUAUUAAUGUUGAGUACUUUCAAAAAAUCAGGCUCUUGACAUCUCGGCAUCCAAAAGUAGUGCACAAUUUUGACAUUAAUCUCUGUUAAAUAGGCUAAUAUAAUAUAAGUGGGACAAUUUCAGGUAUUCACAUACAUGAAGGAAACAUUAGGUUUAUAAUUAGAAACUUUGAGCAUAGCAUUACUAUUAUAAUAUUUGAUUUCACUGAGGAGUUGUGUGUGAAUAGCCCCUGGUAUAACUGGGCCCUUGACUAGCACUGGGAUUUUUUUCCCCACCAAACUACUAUUUUUUUUGUUGUUGACCAAAAAAAGAAAAUGCAGAUUCAGCAACACCAAAACAUUUUGUGAAUUCAAGUUGAUUUUGCUGAAUUUCAAUUGGGAAAAACACUGAUCCUCCUCCCAAUCCCUUCCCCCCAAAAAAUCAAAGCUUUUUCUUUUUCUAAAAGAGAAAUUUCAAUUUUGCAAUUAGAAAUAACUGUUUAGAAACUUCUUUUAAUUUUAAUAAAAAUGUAACAUGUU